rnacentral:snoRNA from 1 species
UGGACCAGUGAUGAGCUUGGUGGGUGUCUGAAUUGAACAUUUUGAUCAAAGCCAUCUGGAACUCUGAGGUCCAU